rnacentral:rRNA from 1 species
GGGCCCGCGGCCCAUUAGCUUGUUGGUGAGGUAACCGCUUACCAAGGCGACGAUGGGUAGCUGGUCUGAGAGGACGAUCAGCCACACUGGGACUGAGACACGGCCCAGACUCCUACGGGAGGCAGCAGUGGGGAAUCUUGCGCAAUGGGCGAAAGCCUGACGCAGCAACGCCGCGUGGGGGAAGAAGGCCUUCGGGUUGUAAACCCCUUUCAGUUGGGACGAAGCUUCCAGAGUUAAUAGCUUUGUGGAGUGACGGUACCUUCAGAAGAAGCCCCGGCUAACUACGUGCCAGCAGCCGCGGUAUUACGUAGGGGGCUAGCGUUGUCCGGAUUCAUUGGGCGUAAAGCGCGUGUAGGCGGUCCGGUAAGUCCGCUGUGAAAGUCGGGGGCUCAACCCUCGGAUGCCGGUGGAUACUGUCGGGCUUGAGUACGGAAGAGGCGAGUGGAAUUCCUGGUGUAGCGGUGAAAUGCGCAGAUAUCAGGAGGAACACCAAUUGCGAAGGCAGCUCGCUGGGACGUUACUGACGCUGAGACGCGAAAGCGUGGGGAGCAAACAGGAUUAGAUACCCUGGUAGUCCACGCUGUAAACGAUGGGCACUAGGUGUGGGGGGUGUCGACUCCCUCCGUGCCGAAGCUAACGCAUUAAGUGCCCCGCCUGGGGAGUACGGCCGCAAGGCUAAAACUCAAAGGAAUUGACGGGCCCGCACAAGCAGCGGAGCAUGUGGUUUAAUUCGACGCAACGCGAAGUACCUUACCUGGGCUUGACAUGUUCCUGACCGUCCUGGAAACAGGGCUUCCCUUCGGGGCAGGAUCACAGGUGGUGCAUGGCUGUCGUCAGC